rnacentral:lncRNA from 1 species
CAUAAGUUGGGUUUUGGUUUUCUAAUAAGGCCUUUAAGUUGGUUUAAAAAUUUAAUUGGGUUUUUGCUUACAUAUUUUAAGCUGCUAGUUUAGAAGAAGAUGAGUUUUUUUUAAAUAAUUACUAUUUUCAAAGACACGAGCUUUAAACAAUUAGAAUUUAAUAAGCUUCUGCGAUUUUAGACCAACUUAUUAAAUCAAUAAUGGAUAACGAGACAAACGUUUUGACUGGUUGGUUUGUUAAUUAGUAAUAAUAAAGGGG